CUUCACCGACCCCAGCCACAACGGACGCUCCGCGUCCCGGUCCCGGCCAUACGUCGCCAGCAGCGCUUCGGCUUC
rnacentral:antisense_RNA from 1 species